CUCACUUCCUCGCGCACCGGCCGCGCCUCGCGGCCUCGCGCCCCAACCGCAGCCUCCCGCCUCAACCGAAGCCUCCCGCCAGCGCUGCAGGUAUAACCGACAACUCACCAAUGGACUGAAUUUACCUCUCUUCUGUAAUUACAUGGGUGAUUUGUGUGACCACACAAGAGGGUUUGCCAUGUAUCUGAACAAAGCAACAGCUG
rnacentral:lncRNA from 1 species